rnacentral:rRNA from 1 species
UUAUGGCUCAGAUUGAACGCUGGCGGCAGGCCUAACACAUGCAAGUCGAACGGUAACAGGAAGCAGCUUGCUGCUUGCUGACGAGUGGCGGACGGGUGAGUAAUGUCUGGGAAACUGCCCGAUGGAGGGGGAUAACUACUGGAAACGGUAGCUAAUACCGCAUAAUGUCGCAAGACCAAAGAGGGGGACCUUCGGGCCUCUUGCCAUCGGAUGUGCCCAGAUGGGAUUAGCUAGUUGGUGAGGUAACGGCUCACCAAGGCGACGAUCCCUAGCUGGUCUGAGAGGAUGACCAGCCACACUGGAACUGAGACACGGUCCAGACUCCUACGGGAGGCAGCAGUGGGGAAUAUUGCACAAUGGGCGCAAGCCUGAUGCAGCCAAUGCCGCGUGUAUGAAGAAGGCCUUCGGGUUGUAAAGUACUUUCAGCGGGGAGGAAGGGGUUAAGGUUAAUAACCUUAGCCAUUGACGUUACCCGCAGAAGAAGCACCGGCUAACUCCGUGCCAGCCGCGGC